rnacentral:sRNA from 16 species
UAAUGCAUGGCGCUUAAUCCUCGAUUCAAGAGGAGCGGGGGACCCGUUCUCCUGGGGCGUAUCGCCAUUUGGCGUAGGGCACCUCUUCGGCCCGAGCCCGUCAGCUAACCUCGCAGGCAUCGAUGAGGGGACUC